GGAUUAGCUCAGCGGUAGAGUAGUCGGCUGUUAACCGAUUGGUCGUAGGUUCGAAUCCUACAUCC
rnacentral:tRNA from 2 species